AGAGUUUGAUCCUGGCUCAGGAUGAACGCUAGCUACAGGCUUAACACAUGCAAGUCGAGGGGAAACGAUAUUGGAAGCUUGCUUCCGAUAGGCGUCGACCGGCGUACGGGUGAGUAACGCGUAUCCAACCUGCCCACCACUUGGGGAUAACCUUGCGAAAGUAAGACUAAUACCCAAUGACGUCUCUAGAAGACAUCUGAAAGAGAUUAAAGAUUUAUCGGUGAUGGAUGGGGAUGCGUCUGAUUAGCUUGUUGGCGGGGUAACGGCCCACCAAGGCGACGAUCAGUAGCCGACCUGAGAGGGUGACCGGCCACAUUGGGACUGAGACACGGCCCAAACUCCUACGGGAGGCAGCA
rnacentral:rRNA from 1 species